rnacentral:lncRNA from 1 species
CUGAAAUUCCGGUGUGUUGAUUAAACUCUAAAUAAAACAGGUGCUAGAGUAAUGGCUUUUACAAGUUAAUUAAUCUUCAUUUUCAAAGGAUGAGCUACCAUUUGGCUUAGGUUUAUUAUACGUAAGUGUAAAUUACAAUGUGAUUUACUGUUCUAAAGAAAAAGCCACUCCCUAAGGACAGGUCUUGCCAGUAAACUGGCAUUGUGGCACAUGGUGUGAGCAAAUUAUGCACACUUCUGGUUGAAAACAUUUCCUUAAAUAUAUGUACAAUCUGAUUAAUUGCUUAUCCAAGAGCUUUUGCUGAGAAUAUCAGUUUGAGGAAAUACCACCUAUUUAAAUACCUUCUAAUCUCCAAAAUAAUAUUGAAAUUCCUCUUAAAGUCUUUAUAACCUUGAUUUUUUUUUCUGUUACAGGACCAAGAUAUUAACUGUAUGUAUGUGAACCCUUGGAGAGAUUUAAUUUACAGUAAACUAAGGAAGAGCUCUUUGACAUCAUAUAGUAUUGAAAAGAUCAGAACAGUCAAGCCUGUUGAGGAGGAAAAAGUUCUCUGCUUGUCUGAAGUAUACUUCCUGCAUCAUCCAUUUCAACAGAAUUAGAAAUUA